GGACCCGCACAAGUAGUGGAGCAUGUGGUUUAAUUCGAAGAUACGCGCAGAACCUUACCAACACUUGACAUGUUCGUCGCGACUUUAAGAGAUUAAAGUUUUCGGUUCGGCCGGACGAAACACAGGUGCUGCAUGGCUGUCGUCAGCUCGUGUCGUGAGAUGUUGGGUUAAGUCCCGCAACGAGCGCAACCCUCACUUUUAGUUGCCAUCAUUUAGUUGGGCACUCUGAAAGAACUGCCAGUGAUAAGCUGGAGGAAGGUGGGGAUGACGUCAAGUCCUCAUGGCCCUUACGUGUUGGGCUACACACGUGCUACAAUGAUAUUUACAACAGGAAGCAAAACGGCGACGUUAAGCAAAUCCUUAAAAAAUAUCUCAGUUCGGAUUGCACUCUGCAACUCGAGUGCAUGAAGCUGGAAUUACUAGUAAUCGUGGAU
rnacentral:rRNA from 1 species